rnacentral:rRNA from 1 species
AUUGAACGCUGGCGGCAUGCUUUACACAUGCAAGUCGAACGGCAGCAUGGGUGCUUGCACCUGAUGGCGAGUGGCGAACGGGUGAGUAAUGUAUCGGAACAUAUCCGCAAGUGGGGGAUAACGUAGCGAAAGUUACGCUAAUACCGCAUAUUCCCUGAGGGGGAAAGGAGGGGAUCCGCAAGGACCUUUCGCUUACGGAGUGGCCGAUAUCAGAUUAGCUAGUUGGUGAGGUAAAGGCUCACCACGGCGACGAUCUGUAGCGGGUCUGAGAGGAUGAUCCGCCACACUGGGACUGAGACACGGCCCAGACUCCUACGGGAGGCAGCAGUGGGGAAUUUUGGACAAUGGGGGCAACCCUGAUCCAGCCAUGCCGCGUGAGUGAAGAAGGCCUUCGGGUUGUAAAGCUCUUUCAGCCGGAAAAAAAUCGCAUCACCUAAUACGUGGUGUGGAUGAUGGUACCGGAAGAAGAAGCACCGGCUAAUUACGUGCCAGCCGCCGCCGUAA